rnacentral:rRNA from 1 species
CGAGAAAGCCCGCAAGGGUGAGUAAAGCGGCGCACGGGUGCGUAACACGUGGGUAAUCUGCCCUAGAGUCUGGAAUAACUCGCCGAAAGGCGUGCUAAUGCCGGGUGAGACCACGGGAGCCUCGGCUCCUGCGGGAAAAGGUGGCCUCUGUAUACAAGCUAUCGCUCUAGGAUGAGCCCGCGGCCCAUCAGCUAGUUGGCGGGGUAAUGGCCCACCAAGGCUACGACGGGUAGCUGGUCUGAGAGGACGAUCAGCCACACUGGAACUGAGACACGGUCCAGACUCCUACGGGAGGCAGCAGUGGGGAAUCUUGCGCAAUGGGCGAAAGCCUGACGCAGCAACGCCGCGUGUGUGAUGAAGGUCUUCGGAUCGUAAAGCACUGUCGCGAGGGACG